GACAGAGGGUGCAAACGUUGUUCGGAAUUACUGGGCGUAAAGCGUGUGUAGGCGGUUCUCUAAGUCGGAUGGGAAAUCCCUGGGCUCAACCCAGGAAGUGCACUCGAAACUGGAGGGCUAGAGUAUCGGAGAGGUUGGUGGAAUUCUCGGUGUAGAGGUGAAAUUCGUAGAUAUCGAGAGGAACACCGGUGGCGAAGGCGGCCAACUGGACGAAUACUGACGCUGAGACGCGAAAGCGUGGGGAGCAAACAGG
rnacentral:rRNA from 1 species